GGGGGCGCAGUGCGCCUGCGCAAGAGCCGGUACGUAUUUGCCUGUAGCUGCGCGCAGUACCAGUACUUCUGGUCAGUUCCGAGGAGCGGCAAGUGAGGAAUAUGAAAUACCCUUAUGGCUGAAUCAGGGUGAAGGGGAAGCUUGUAAGCGUGGAAGACGCUCUACUCAAACUAAAAAGUUCGGGUUCUGAUCCAGCAGAUGAAAAGAGAGGCCUGAGAGGCUGCUGUUUUAACUUGCUCCCAGAGACAGGGCCUUACUCUGCUGCCCAGGCUGGAGUACAGUGGCACAAUCAUAGCUGAUUGCAGCCUCAAACUGCUGGGCUCAAGCGAAACUCCCGCGUCAGCCUCCUGAGUCCCUGGGACUACAGAUUCAAGUGAUUCUUCUGCCUCAGCCUCCCAAGUAGCUGGAAUUACAGGUACUGAGGAUGGAGGACAAGGGGUCAGUAGAGACCCAGCUUUGAGCAGAGCCCUGCCUAAGGUCUAGGGCUUGAUCUGGCCCUAACCACAGUCACUUUGAGGACACCAAGAACUUGAAAAGAUAAUUCACCAAGUGGAAGAACGACUUGCAAAUCCUGUGUCUGGUGGGG
rnacentral:sRNA from 1 species